rnacentral:rRNA from 1 species
GACGAACGCUGGCGGCGUGCCUAAUACAUGCAAGUAGAACGCUGAAGGAGGAGCUUGCUUCUCUGGAUGAGUUGCGAACGGGUGAGUAACGCGUAGGUAACCUGCCUGGUAGCGGGGGAUAACUAUUGGAAACGAUAGCUAAUACCGCAUAAGAGUAGAUGUUGCAUGACAUUUGCUUAAAAGGUGCAAUUGCAUCACUACCAGAUGGACCUGCGUUGUAUUAGCUAGUUGGUGAGGUAACGGCUCACCAAGGCAACGAUACAUAGCCGACCUGAGAGGGUGGUCGGCCACCCUUGGACUGAGACACGGCCCCGACUCCUGCGGGAGGCAGCCGUAGGGAAUCUUCGGCAAUGGACGGAAGUCUGACCGCGCAACGCCGCGUGAGUGAAGAAGGUUUUCGGAUCGUAAAGCUCUGUUGUAAGAGAAGAACGAGUGUGAGAGUGGAAAGUUCCCACUGUGACGGUAUCUUACCAGAAAGGGACGGCUAACUACGUG